rnacentral:rRNA from 1 species
AGCGAACGCUGGCGGCAGGCUUAACACAUGCAAGUCGAGCGGACACUCUCGGGUGUCAGCGGCGGACGGGUGGGUAACGCGGGGGAACGUGCCCUCUGGUUCGGAAUAACUCAGGGAAACUUGAGCUAAUACCGGAUACGCCCUUAUGGGAAAAUGCUUUCUGCCGGAGGAUCCGCCCGCGUAUGAUUAUCUAGUUGUUGCGUUAACGUCUCACCACGGCGCCGAACCGUAGCUGGUCUGUGAGGAUGAUCAGCCACACUGGGACAGAGACGCGGCACAGACUCCUACGGGAGGGAGGAGUGGGGAAUAGUGGACAACCGGCGCAAGCCUGAUCCAGCCAUGACGCGUGAGUGAUGAAGGCCUUAGGGUUGUAAAGCGCUUUUAUCCGGGACGAUAAUGACGGUACCGGAGGAAUAAGCCCCGGCUAACUUCGUG